rnacentral:lncRNA from 1 species
AAAAGUUGGAAAGUGGUUGUUAUAAUGUCAAAUGACUUCGCCAAUAGUGAAUGGUGUCAGUGGGAAGUUGAUGUAGUCCAGGAAAGACGUCGACGUCAAGGAAAAGACGCCUUCUUGUUAAUAAUGCUGAAGACAAUUGAUUCAAAACAUAUGACAAGUCCACUGCGUACGUUACUGGAGAGUACUCCUCAUGUAAGGUACCAGACAGGCAUAGGAGAAGACCUGUUCUGGAAGGUCGCAG